AACGGGAUUUAGUAAACAGAAGCCUCGGUGGAAGAUUACUAAUGAGAGUGGCGAACGGGUGAGUAACGCGUGAGCAACCUGCCUAUGACAGUGGGAUAGCCUCGGGAAACCGGGAUUAAUACCGCAUAAAAUCGUAGAAACACAUGUUUUAACGGUCAAAGAUUUAUCGGUCAUAGAUGGGCUCGCGUCUGAUUAGCUAGUUGGUGAGAUAACAGCCCACCAAGGCGACGAUCAGUAGCCGGUCUGAGAGGAUGAACGGCCACAUUGGAACUGAGACACGGUCCAAACUCCUACGGGAGGCAGCAGUGGGGAAUAUUGCACAAUGGGGGAAACCCUGAUGCAGCGACGCCGCGUGAACGAAGAAGGUAUUCGUAUCGUAAAGUUCUGUCCUAUGGGAAGAUAAUGACAGUACCAUAGAAGAAAGCUCCGGCUAAAUACGUGCCAGCAGCCGCGGUAAUACGUAUGGAGCGAGCGUUGUCCGGAAUUAUUGGGCGUAAAGGGUACGCAGGCGGUUUAAUAAGUCGAAUGUUAAAGAUCGGGGCUCAACCCCGUAAAGCAUUGGAAACUGAUAAACUUGAGUAGUGGAGAGGAAAGUGGAAUUCCUAGUGUAGUGGUGAAAUACGUAGAUAUUAGGAGGAAUACCAGUAGCGAAGGCGACUUUCUGGACACAAACUGACGCUGAGGUACGAAAGCGUGGGGAGCAAACAGGAUUAGAUACCCUGGU
rnacentral:rRNA from 1 species